AGAAUCAACGCUGGCGGCGUGCCUAACACAUGCAAGUCGAACGAGAAAGUGGAGCAAUCCAUGAGUAAAGUGGCGCACGGGUGAGUAACACGUGACUAACCUACCCUUGAGUGGGGGAUAACCUAGGGAAACCUGGGCUAAUACCGCAUAAUACCUUCGGGUCAAAGGAGCAAUUCGCUUAAGGAGGGGGUCGCGGCCGAUUAGUUAGUUGGCGGGGUAAUGGCCCACCAAGACGAUGAUCGGUAUCCGGCCUGAGAGGGCGCACGGACACACUGGAACUGAAACACGGUCCAGACUCCUACGGGAGGCAGCAGUGGGGAAUUUGCGCAAUGGGGGAAACCCUGACGCAGCAACGCCGCGUGGAGGAUGAAGUCCCUUGGGACGUAAACUCCUUUCGAUCGGGACGAUAAUGACGGUACCGGAAGAAGAAGCCCCGGCUAACUUCGUGCCAGCAGCCGC
rnacentral:rRNA from 1 species